UUCUUUCCUUUUACUUUAUUUGUCUUUUGCAGAAGACGAUUGCUCUCUCCACCCGUUCCUGCCGUUUGGGGGCUGAUAGCUCUCUCCUUGGAGCCAAGAAUGGUCCCAUUAAAAAUGAAAGUAUAAAGCACAGCUAGAUUUUAAUUCACUGCAUCAACAUUUCUAUAUACACAGAGAGAAGGAGAGAAAUAAAUUUAUAAUACUAUACGCACACAUGCUAAAGACUGAGGUCCUGUUGAGUGCUGUCACUGAAGUGUUGCCUAAAGCUGAUGUCUUAUCUCUCUAAUUUCCAAAUAUUUCUUAAAAAAGUGAGUGUCUUUCAAGUCCCCGCGCUAUGAAGUACAAAGCGAGCUUGGAGAUGGAGCACUUCUGUGUCAACAGUGUCAAAGCAGGAUGCAGGUCUCCCUCUCCAACUUUCCGCUGUGUUUUAAAUCCUUACUCAGAGAAUGAAGAAAUCGGUGCAAGUUUGGACAACGUUUGGAGCUGAGGAGAAGCCCUGCCCUGUGGCUUCAUGAUGAUGUGGCAUCUCCAUGCAGAGACACUGCUGCUGCCAUCCACCGUGGUUUGAAGCAUUGGGACUGAACCAAAGGAAGAAAACUUCCAGGUACCGUUAACUCCAGAGGUGCUGUACCCCAUGGCCAAAGCUGGCACCCCAGGGCCAUCUCUGCAGUGAUCCCCAUUCGCUCCGUGCUCAGAAAAACUGGAUUUCUUGCCAUCCAUCCAUUCGUCAAAUCCUUCCAUCCUGCAGGCCUGCCACAGUGGCGGAAGAAGGGAGAGAGGCCAAGCUGAUACCUGAGGGAUGAGGACAAGGUGAACCUGUCUGUGCACAAGUGGGUUUAGGAAGCUUCACUGAAAACCUG